rnacentral:rRNA from 1 species
CCUUUUGUAUAAUGGGUCAGCGACUUAUAUUCUGUAGCAAGGUUAACCGAAUAGGGGAGCCGAAGGGAAACCGAGUCUUAACUGGGCGUUAAGUUGCAGGGUAUAGACCCGAAACCCGGUGAUCUAGCCAUGGGCAGGUUGAAGGUUGGGUAACACUAACUGGAGGACCGAACCGACUAAUGUUGAAAAAUUAGCGGAUGACUUGUGGCUGGGGGUGAAAGGCCAAUCAAACCGGGAGAUAGCUGGUUCUCCCCGAAAGCUAUUUAGGUAGCGCCUCGUGAAUUCAUCUCCGGGGGUAGAGCAC